rnacentral:rRNA from 1 species
GACGAACGCUGGCGGCGUGCUUAACACAUGCAAGUCGAGCGGUAAGGCCCUUUCGGGGGUACACGAGCGGCGAACGGGUGAGUAACACGUGGGUGACCUGCCCUCAGCUCUGGGAGUAAAGCCUGGGAAACUAGGGUCUAAUACUGGAUAUGACUCACGGUGCAUGUCGUGGGGUGGAAAGCCUUGUGCGGCUGAGGAUGGGCCCGCGGCCUAUCAGCUUGUUGGUGGGGUGANGGGCCUACCAAGGCGACGACGGGUAGCCGGCCUGAGAGGGCGACCGGCCACACUGGGA